GACGUAGGGGGCGAGCGUUGUCCGGAUUUAUUGGGCGUAAAGCGCGCGUAGGCGGUCUGUUAAGUGGGAUGUGAAAUCCCCGGGCUCAACCUGGGAAUUGCAUUCGAUACUGGAUAGCUAGAGUUCGGCAGAGGGAAGCGGAAUUUCUGGUGUAGCGGUGAAAUGCGCAGAUAUCAGGAGGAACACCGGUGGCGAAGGCGGAUCUCUGGGCCUUACCUGACGCUCAGGCGCGAAAGCGUGGGGAGCAAACAGG
rnacentral:rRNA from 1 species